UGGGCUUUGGCCAAAGGAAGAGAAAGUCAUACCACCUGGCCGCUUGGAAGCAGACAAAAACUUGCAAAAAGAUUGUCUCAAGGUGCAAGCUUCCAGGAUUUUUAGAUGGAAUUUGCAUCGUGGCUGGUUAUAGUUUCUCCAGUGGCCUGUCUUCUGGAGUUAGCAAUUCUCACAAGACUUUAAUAACGUUGGCUCAGUUUGACUUCUCAAGGCUGGAACGUGACCAAUACAUUAGCAAUGCUGAUUGGCUUUGAUGAGAGGUUUCUGAAAAGAAAUACAUGCACAGAACUUUGACCUCGGGAAAAGUAGUGCUGAUGUGCACAACCUGCAACAACUUAAGAGUGUCUUUUGCAGCAUGACUGCAACAAUUGUAUUAACGGAAGUGGAGUGAAAGUAAAUUUUGAGCAAAUUUCUGCAAGAGAAACUCCUAGAGUACAGCCAGGAAAUUGCACAAUAGGUGCCAUU
rnacentral:lncRNA from 13 species